CUCCCCUCCCCGGCCCAACUGCCCCCGCGCUGACCAGCCACCGGAUCGGCCCAUCGCCAUCCUCCCACGCGUGGCCGGCGUCGAAUCCGCGCGUCGCCGUCCCUCCCAACCACAGGGUCGAGGGGCUGCUGGAUCCUCCCCGUGGUCGUCCUCCCGCGGCUUCCCGACGACGGAUGCGCCUAGCGGGCCCGGAUGGGAAUGGGUCGUGGUCUCCUCGCCGAGUUGAUGGCCAUCGACGGCAGACUCCAGCGACCUCAUACGUGCCACCACGCUUCGGCCACUUCCAGCGGCGCCGCCGGCCAUGCCCCUACUCCUCCUCUACCCCCUGAACCUCUGCCUUCCCCUUCACCAGCGCCUGCUCUGGCCGCCCACCGCUCCCCUGCAACCGAAGCAGUUCUUCCGAGCGACCCCCGCAGCUCUCUCCUCCCCCAUGUGCAGAUCGCCGACAACACGCCCCUUCCUUGCCACAUUUUAUUUGGGCAACCUCAGUAGAUAUCGCCUGUUGUUGCAAUCCAUCCCACGGGCACCUUCAGUACGCAUCGCCCCCACCUGGAUUAAAACUUCUGGCUCUCCUGGAUCUAACUGCCACUGGUGGUUUUUUUUCAGAAGCAGUGCAACAACGUGCAUUCCCAUGGCGUCCUUUAUGCAGUGCGGAUGGGCGAGGCUUGCAUUAUACUUGUGUUGGCAGAAGGUUCUCUAGCUGGGUGAUGAAGUUCGCCGGAGGAAAACAGGGCGUUGCCCCCUAAUACACUUCGGCUGGGAGACCGUUGAUGUUGGUGAAGUCAUGUUUGUGUGUGUCGUGUGUAUAUAAUUUCUUUUUCUCUAUUUUUAUAUGCAUGUUUGCUUGUGGAAACUUAUAUUAAACGUCUCUUCAUUAUUAUUUGCAUCAUUUAUGCAAUGCACUUA